rnacentral:rRNA from 1 species
ACGAACGCUGGCGGCGUGCCUAAUACAUGCAAGUCGAGCGGAAUGAUGAAGAAGCUUGCUUCUUCUGAUUUUAGCGGCGGACGGGUGAGUAACACGUGGGCAACCUACCUUGUAGAUUGGGAUAACUCCGGGAAACCGGGGCUAAUACCGAAUAAUCCAUUUUGCUUCAUGGCGAGGUGUUGAAAGACGGUUUCGGCUGUCAUUAUAAGAUGGGCCCGCGGCGCAUUAGCUAGUUGGUAGGGUAAUGGCCUACCAAGGCGACGAUGCGUAGCCGACCUGAGAGGGUGAUCGGCCACACUGGGACUGAGACACGGCCCAGACUCCUACGGGAGGCAGCAGUAGGGAAUCUUCCACAAUGGACGAAAGUCUGAUGGAGCAACGCCGCGUGAGUGAAGAAGGUUUUCGGAUCGUAAAACUCUGUUGUGAGGGAAGAACACGUACGAGAGUAACUGCUCGUACCUUGACGGUACCUUAUUAGAAAGCCACGGCUAACUACGUG